rnacentral:rRNA from 1 species
UGGGGAAUAUUGCACAAUGGGGGAAACCCUGAUGCAGCGACGCCGCGUGAGUGAAGAAGUAUUUCGGUAUGUAAAGCUCUAUCAGCAGGGAAGAAAAACCGCCUUAGGGCGGCCGGACGGUACCUGAAUAAGAAGCCCCGGCUAACUACGUGCCAGCAGCCGCGGUAAUACGUAGGGGGCAAGCGUUAUCCGGAUUUACUGGGUGUAAAGGGAGCGUAGACGGCUGUGCAAGUCUGAAGUGAAAGCCCGGGGCUCAACCCCGGGACUGCUUUGGAAACUGUAAAGCUGGAGUGCAGGAGAGGUAAGUGGAAUUCCUAGUGUAGCGGUGAAAUGCGUAGAUAUUAGGAGGAACACCAGUGGCGAAGGCGGCUUACUGGACUGUAACUGACGUUGAGGCUCGAAAGCGUGGGGAGCAAACAGG